UGUAAUUGUAAAAUGAUUUUAAAAAUCUUUGUUUGGUAAAAUAGUUGAGCUGUACGCUAGAUGACUUCAUGAUAGUUGAAAAAACAGCAGUCAGCAAAAGAAGAAAUUAGAAAGUUUUUCUUGCAGUUUGCAAUGGUAUGGGUAUACCAAUGUCAAAAGAAAAGACAUUCCAGCCAUCACAGGUCAUGAGUUUUAUUAGUUAUGAAAUCCACACUAGGUUAAUGGAAGUUAGACUUCCCAUGGAUAAGCUUGUCAAAUGUCAUAACCUUAUAAAUGUAGUAUCACAAAAGGAAAAAUUACAUUGAGGGAUCUUCACUGAACUUCGCAUGUGCAGUCGUUAUACCACGAAGGGCAUUUCUGAGAAGACUAAUAGAUUUAACAAUUGGGAUCAAAAAGUCCUUUCAUAGAAUUUGGAUUACGGAAUCAGUAAGUUGAAAAUGGUGUUAGGAAGAAUGAGAGCAACGCCAGAGGUCAAUUUUUAUAUCCAAAGACGAGGAUAUCAAUCAUUUUGUGAAAAAAGAAAUACAUUAAAGCACCAAAAACAACACUUACAACGAACAUUGUCAACCAAAUUGGUGCUAAAGGAGACAACCGAAAACAUAAGAAAAAUGGCUGUGAAAUUAGUAUUGACGCUGACAGUGUUAAAAUUAAUUUGAAAGUUUUUCUUUUAAGAAACCGUCUUAAUAUUAGAGCUUUCUUACAAUUUGACGAAAGGUACG